rnacentral:tRNA from 1 species
UGUCUAGGAGCGGGAAUCGAACCCACAACCUUCUGCUUACCGGGCAGGUGCCAUGUCCACUAGGCUACCCUGGAC